rnacentral:rRNA from 1 species
UAUUAUAAUCAACUUAUCUUACUAGUAUUUAUUAACUAAUUAAAAGUUAAAAAUUAAUUAAAAUUAGAUUUCUAAAAAAUAUAAUUAAAUGUAGCAAAAAAAAAAAUACAAAAAUUUAAUUUAAGUAAAGAUGACAAUCUUUUACCUUUUGUAUCAGGGUUAAUUAAUAAUAAAAAAGAGUUUAAUGUCUCGAAAUUUACAACCAUAUAAGAAUUUUACAUUGUUACCAUUCAAAAGGUAAAAUAAAUUAAUUUUUAGAUUUUAUAUAAAACCAUGUUUUAAAUAUCUAGUUAUUAAAUAUAAUAAUUUAAUUAGAUAUUGUUUACUAUUAACUUAUUUGAUAACCUAAAUUCCAAAAUUAAACAAUAGAAACCUUUAAAAGUUAAGUAUUAAAGUAAAAUAAAUUUGAAUACUAAAAAUAUCUAAAUAAGAUUGAUAAUCUUUAAUUAAAAAAUAUAUAAAAAUGAAGAAACCUUAAAUUUAUAUUUUAAAUUAAAUUAUCUUGAUAUUUAAUUAAAUCUAAAUAAAAGCAAAUAAAAUAAAAUGAUUAAAUUAAUAUACAAUCUAGAUUUAAAUUAACAAUUAGGCAAUUAAUUAAGUUUCCAUCUGUUUAUCAAAAACAUAGUUUAAAGAAAAAGAUUUUAGAUAAAUUCUGCUCAAUGAGUAAAUUAAAUAGCUGCAGUAAAUUAACUGUACUAAGGUAGCAUAAUAAGUUGCUUUAUAAUUAAAAGCUUGAAUGAAAGAAAUAAUGUGAAACAAGCUUUUUAAACUAAAGUAGUAAAAAUUAAUAUUUAAGUGAAAAAUCUUAAAUA